UCACCCAUCCUAGUACUACUCUCGCCCAAGCACGCUUAACUUCGGAGUUCUGAUGGGAUCCGGUGCGUUAGUGCUGGUUUGAUCGCAUCCAACAUUCCUUGCACUCUAAAUUCUCUUUAACACCUUUCCUCCUUCCGCUUUUGGUGCAAAGGUGUAAAGCCUUAAAACGACAUACACUUUACGCCCAUUUAUCCGUUUUACGCAAUUCUUCUUUUGAUUUCUACUAUUUUUCGCGGGCAAAGGCAUUCACCACCAACAACAAGCUGCACUCGACGAUAAUAUCACAAUCACAAUCGACGACGUCGCAACUAGACGUUUUACGGAAGUAGUGACAUGUCAAGCGCAACUAGACUUAAGGAUUAACCUCGUAAAUAUUUUUCUUAUUUGCUGCAUAUUGCUUUUUCUCACAAUUAUUUUCUUUAAAAAAAAAUUAUUAUUUCAUGUAAAAAAAAAUAUCGUUCAUAUCAAGUAAAACUCAUUUGUGAAUUUAUUAGAGCUACCGCCGAUAUAUUAAAAGAAGUAAGUUGCAAAUAUUGCCAAAAAUAAAGGGAUGCAACACGAGGACUUCCCAGAGGGUCACCCAUCCUAGUACUACUCUCGCCCAAGCACGCUUAACUUCAGAGUUCUGAUGGGAUCCGGUGCGUUAGUGCUGGUAUGAUCGCAUCCGACAUUCCUUGCACUCUAAAUUCUCUUUAACACCUUUCCUCCUUCCGCUUUUGGUGCGAAGGUGUAAAGCCUUAAAACGACAUACACUUUACGCCUAUUUAUCCGUUUUAUCACAAUCGACGACGUCGCAACUAGACGUUUUACGGAUGUAAUGACAUGUCAAGCGCAACUAGACUUGUUAACGGAUGUAGUGACAUGUACAUACACUUUCCACGCUUCAUAUCUAGUCCAUGCACCAUCAAGGUUUGAGCCAUUGUACUUGAGGUACAAAAAUAGCCAAGAUAUAUCUAUGAAAUUCAAAAUGAUAGGUAAAAUGAGACGUUGCUUUCAUCCAGGUUUGAACCGUUGUUGUGGAGGUACAUAUAGCCAAAGUGUAAUGGAUAAACCAAUGAGCCAAGUUACACAUAUCUACAUGUUUAUGCUAUUUUAAAUAUAGAUAUUAAUCACUAAAGAGAUUUGCUUCGUUUUUUGAAGUUGAAUUUCAAACACUGAAAUUGACAUACACAUUCGGAGUAUCGCGGACAUUUCGACCUUGAACUCUUUUUUUCCAUCUAAUUAUAC
rnacentral:lncRNA from 1 species